AGCCCCGACGCGACGCGCCUGCUAAUCUGCAGGGCGGGCGGGGACUCCGCAGAGCCUCCCAGCCCCAGGCUCCCUUUGUUUUCUCGCUGCGCUCGAAGCUUCUAAACUAGCCCCCAGACCGCAUCCCCUCGUCCCCGCCCGGGAGCUGCCCAAGAGUCCACAGGCCAGCCCAGGGGGAAACAAGGUACAUCUGGGCAGGAAUGCGCGGCGCAGACAGGUUGCCGCCUGAGAUCCCGAAGUGUACCCAGAUCCCGAAUUCCUUAGAGCUCUUUAGCCGAGCACUGUGGCAGGAGCGCGGCGCCCGGAAUACAAGUUCAUGGUUCCGAGCCGGCGGGCGAAGGGCAGCGCGAUCCCCCGCCACCUUUGCUCUAAGGCGCCUAGGGGAACCUGGGGGCUGCCGCGGUGAGAGCUCCGCUCCCACUGGGAACAUUGGAGUCCCAGUUGCGAAAGCGACCCGCCUAGCUUCCGAGGGACUUCUCUGCGAGCACCGCAGGCGUGUGCAUUUCUUCGAAUCUGAGAAUUCCAGCGAACUCGGGCUCUACCAGAGUUUAAGUCGGCCCCUGGGGCGUCUGUUUGUUUAUUGGCUCUUAAGGGAAAAAAGUUUGAAGAUCUUUAACCAGCCUCAGACCUGGCGCGGGCGGAAAUCCCGGAAUCUCCCCAAGCAAAAGUGAUAUAACUUCAAGUCGUUAUAUAAGUGGGGGGCUCCUUCUUCCCCUCCCUACGCCGAGCCUUCUCAUUAUCAUUCCGGGAGUAAAAUGUGUCUCGCUCAACAUAG
rnacentral:lncRNA from 1 species